CUGAUGUCUGAUACAUAGGAAAAAGGUGCCCGGGUUCCUUUGAUCACGGAAGUUGAUUUCAGAUCAGAAGGUCAACAGCAACUCGUCUAAUACCCACCCAGUCAGUACAGCCCUUGUGGAGGCUUGAAGAACGUACGUGCGACAAAGGGGCACACAGGAGUUCGUUGUAGGAAUGAGCAGAUGGGUGCCUGGAUUUCAGAAUUUGUUUCUCACUAGGCUCCAAGGGUUUGGGGCCUGAAGAAAGAGAAUUGGCUUAUUCCAGUUCCUACCAAUCCCCCUGAGUAUUUUCUAGAGAUCCUCUUUGGUAAAGACGGGCAGAGAAAGAAGGUUCAGAAUACACACCAGAUGGGCAUUACUCACAAAAAGGGACCUGGACCAUAGGGAGAGCUCUCUCCCACUUUCCUCACUGGUCCUGCUCUGUAGGCUCACCCACAGCAGGGCCCUUUUGGCAGGGAACGCCGGGCUCCUGUGUAUGCGGGGCGUGAACUUUGAGUGGGCACAUCCUCUCAGUUUGUUCAUCUGUAAAGCGGGCGCAGAGCUGCUGGCGGCCAUCUUGCCACUCUGGUCUCCCGCAGAAGGAAGCCGAGGGGAUAGAUGAGGUAAUGAGCCUGAGCCCUGAGACACUAGUGCGCCCACGGAUCAAGCCAUGCCUGAGACCCACUGUGGGACUUUUCAGUGGUGUGAACCAGUCAACUCCCUAAUUUGGCAUGGGCUCUUUUGAGCUGGGUUGUGGUCACAGGAGUCCUGAUUAAUGCAAUCUAUUCGGUAGAUUGCCUUGAACAUCUGAAUUGUGGAUACUCAUCGCGGUUCUGGGGUUCUCAGCUAAGGCAGGGUGGAGUGGGGUGGGGUGAGUAGGGGGUAGGGCCAUGAGCUCACAGGAAAGGGACCUAGAAAAACACAUGUGAGGAAUAGUUGAAGAAACACAGAGGGGGACUCCAGGGAGAUGUGACAGCCUGUUGUCAUGGAGACCCCACAGUGUAGACCACUGGAUGAAGGAUUUUUAGAGCUGGAUUUUAACUCCGCGGGAAGAAAAGUUACCGACUCUCUCGGAUGUGAGGAGGUAAUGAGUUCCCCUCCCCUGUGGGCGUGUAAGACGAAAGUGUCUAACAGGAUGUCAUCAGGGAGAUUCAAGCAGCAGGUGCAGGUUGAACUAGAUACCCUUGACAUUCCUGCUAACCCUGAGCCAUGAUGAAUCUGUUUUCAGGAUGAAGAGGUUAGUGUUUGAAUCAGGUCUUUCUCAUUUGUGACCCAGCUUUUCCAGCAGAGAAAUUAUGUUUAUGAGGGUAGAGUUGCUAUGGAGACAAUUAAAAUGACAGAUUCCGUGCUUAAAGCAAAGAAAUAGAGAUACUGCCUUUAAGAGUAUGGCCCCUGCUUCCCAGCCCCAAAGCCCUGUGCACUUCUCCUGUUACCCAGAGCUUGCACAUAAACUGGGAGACUCCUCGAAAAGGAACUUGGCUCCCAAAGUCCCAGAGUUGGAGGCGAGUUAGAACAGGGGCAGAGUCACCAUCUGGACGCUACCCCCAAGGUUUGCUUUAAGAGGGUGUCGGGAGGCCCAGCUGGGGGUUCUGACUACAGCCUCUCUUCUCCUGGCCAGUUCCCACGCGGUAUGGGGUCCCCAACUCUGGGGCCAGACUCUCUCCUUCUCUCAACCCAGAACCUCUGUUCCUUCUAAAAUAGAGGCGGAGUCUGCCAAUCUCUCCUACAUUCUCCACAGAAAUGACCUUGCCGCGUCUUUCGGCCCUCUUUUUUUUUUUUUUUUUUUUUUUUUUUUUUUGAGAUGUUUAUAAAUCACCACUGUACAUGGCA